rnacentral:rRNA from 1 species
CGGACGGGUGAGUAAUACUUAGGAAUCUGCCCAUUAGUGGGGGACAACUCGAGGAAACUCGAGCUAAUACCGCAUACGCCCUACGGGGGAAAGCGGAGGACCUUUCGGGGCUUCGCGCUAAUGGAUGAGCCUAAGUCGGAUUAGCUUGUUGGUGAGGUAAAGGCUCACCAAGGCGACGAUCCGUAGCUGGUCUGAGAGAAUGAUCAGCCACACUGGGACUGAGACACGGCCCAG